rnacentral:lncRNA from 1 species
CACAAAAAAUCAUCAUGAUUAUACAGGUUAAAACGAUUAUUAACUUUUUUUUUGUAAUCUAUAAUAUAAAAUUAAACAGACCUAAUAUCUAUUUAUAUCUAUAUUUAUGUUUACAUCGCUUAUAUGGCAUUCGGAGGUCUUCGGGGGUCAACUCGACAGUUAAUUAAAUGGGGUCUAGACUAAAAUACACACGACACGAAGCUACAUAUUAUCUAGUCCAUGCCCGGU